rnacentral:rRNA from 1 species
GUGGGGAAUUUUGGACAAUGGGCGAAAGCCUGAUCCAGCCAUUCCGCGUGAGUGAAGAAGGCCUUCGGGUUGUAAAGCUCUUUCGGCAGGAACGAAAUGGUUACGGUUAAUAACCGUGACUUCUGACGGUACCUGAAGAAGAAGCACCGGCUAACUACGUGCCAGCAGCCGCGGUAAUACGUAGGGUGCGAGCGUUAAUCGGAAUUACUGGGCGUAAAGCGUGCGCAGGCGGUUUUGUAAGUCAGAUGUGAAAGCCCCGGGCUUAACCUGGGAAUGGCGUUUGAAACUACAAGGCUAGAGUGUGUCAGAGGGGGGUAGAAUUCCACGUGUAGCAGUGAAAUGCGUAGAGAUGUGGAGGAAUACCGAUGGCGAAGGCAGCCCCCUGGGAUAACACUGACGCUCAUGCACGAAAGCGUGGGGAGCAAACAGGAUUAGAUACCCGAGUAGUCC